UACAGAGACUGCAAGCGUUAUUCGGAAUUACUGGGCGUAAAGCGUGCGCAGGCGGUUUGCUAAGACAGGUGUGAAAUCCCCGGGCUUAACCUGGGAACUGCGCUUGUAACUGGCAAGCUAGAGUGUGGCAGAGGGGGGUGGAAUUCCACGUGUAGCAGUGAAAUGCGUAGAGAUGUGGAGGAACACCGAUGGCGAAGGCAGCCCCCUGGGCUAACACUGACGCUCAUGCACGAAAGCGUGGGGAGCAAACAGG
rnacentral:rRNA from 1 species